AAGUCGUAACAAGGUUUCCGUAGGUGAACCUGCGGAAGGAUCAUUGCAAAUGUAGAGGGGUGGUUGGGUUUGGGUGGUUUGUGUCCAUUCAUCCCAAUCCCACAUAAGGUCUUGGGUCGGAUGGGGAUAGGAUAUCUUUGAUAUCUUGUCUUGUCUGGCCCAUGUAUCAUUCACGCUUGUUUUGUUUGUCAGACCGAAUGUGUCAAUUUAUCAGAACUUUUAACAAUGGAUCUCUUGGCUCUU
rnacentral:misc_RNA from 1 species